rnacentral:lncRNA from 1 species
CCUGUCCAGGAAUGGGCCCCUACCUUGUUCUUCCCAGCCAUGCCCAUGCUGUGCUCCUCCUCCUGAACCAUGCUCCUUUGCAGUGGCCAGGCUUUCAGCAACCACAGGGCCUUUCCCAGGCUGUUUUGACUACUGAAUCUCUCACCUUCCUCCCCUCAUAUCAUAUUCCCUGUUCUGGGGGCAAUGAAUGUACCUUAUGAUAGACCCUCUGAGUCCUCAUCAUGGUUGUAAUUUGAUAUUUAUGGCUGACUGAUGAUUUGAAUAAAUACUUGCAUCUUCCCCAGUAGACUGGACAUGGUAGGAGGGCAGGGUCCCUGUGUUUUAACUCACUGUUGGGAGAGGUAGUCUGCCUGCAUCUUGAGCAUCCUUGCACCUUGUUGCUGGCUAUGUGGACAAUUGUUGGCCCUGACUACUCUUCCCAGGCUGUUUCCCAGCAGAUAUUAUGUUGAUCAUAGAUAUCUUGAGGUCUGAACUAUCAUCUUCCUCCAGGAGAGACAGCAGACUUGCUUGCUGCUUUCUGUAACAUAUCAGGGUCCCCAUGCUCAGUGUUCUUCUGCAAAGCCACUAUAUAUGUGUGUGUGGCAUCCACCUGGACCCCACCAUACUAUCCCUGUGGGAAUAAGGAACAUGGAAAAUGUGCAGACCUGCCGGUGCUCAUGCUGUCUAUUGUCCUGUCACAGUUCUACGCCUCUGUCUGUGUCAGCAUCCAUGAACCAAUAACAGUCUAACUUAACUAACUUGUAAACAGGUUAAAAAGUUCCAGACAUAACCCUAGCCAUUAUUCUCCUAACAGCACACACUAUCUGGCAGAAAGUAGAUAUUCAGUAUUUAUGUGUAAGAUGAAUACAUGGAUAGAUGGACUUUCUCAACUCAUACUUAAGACAUUGCAGGGAUCAAACCUUUCCAGAAAUGCCAACCACAUUCUGGAAUCCUUCUGAGAUUGCACAGAUGACAGUUGAGGGGGGGACACAAAGAUUUGUCCUUAAGUCUCUGCAUUUAUGUGCCUAAUUAGAACUUUUUUGUUCAACCAGCCCUUAUUCUGAUACGUAAAGUAUUUAAAGGGGUAAGCUCAUCAGAUAGCUGUACUUCCUGAAUUACUUGACUUGGUCUAAUGUUCUAAUGUCGAGCUGAACUUGGUGGUGAUGUUUGGGGAGGGCUGAUGAAGGAGGUUGGCAGCCUGGGGCAGGCAGAAGCUUGGGUUCUAUUGCAAAAGGGGAAUUCUAGACAUAUCUGGGUGUCUUGAAGGGGGCUGGAGAGUAGGGGAUCCAGGAAGUGAGAAAGAGAAGUGGGACAGCAGCAAAGGCAAAUGUGGCCUCAAGUCCUGCCCACUGGCUGGUGGCAGGAGUUAGGGACACAUCUCGAAAAUUCUUCUCUGAGGCUGCAUGGGCUAGAGUGCUUCAGAUGACAGCUGUCCAGAGGGAUUGUUCCCCUUUUGCAAACAGCAUUUUUUUUUACGACAUAAGCAAAGUUUUUGCACUUAGAUUACAGCUACCUUCAGGACAGAUAAAAGAAGGAAAAGAAAGCAAGAGAAUGUAAAAUUUAAAGCCAUUAAGGCUUAUUAAAUUAAAAGUUGAAUAAUGUAUGGAAAGGCAGAUAGCUCUUUGGGAUUCUUGGAGAUGGUAGGAUAAGAAGAACCUUCAGGUUUGGACUGGAUCAAGUGUUCUCACCAAGGAGAUACCACCCCUGAAGAGGCAGAAAUGGGUUCUUAAGAGACAAAAAAGAACUUAGAUGUUCCAUGGUUGUGGCCCUUUGGAGGAUAAAGAGAUAUACAAUGUUUCUAUGUAUUAAAAUGUACUGGAGGAGGGGGAUUAGAAAAGUAUCUUUAAUAGUCUUUGCGGGGGUGAUAAGGAAAAAGUUGAAAACACUUGACUUCCUGAAUCAAAUGGAAGGCUUUUGUUGACCACCAGUGGGUCCUUCUGGAAAAUGAAACAAGUGCGUUAUUUCAGCAGAAGGAAAAAGAUCCCCCCUCCCCUACUUCUCUUUCCAAUACUGAGAUUUGAACCCAGGGAUGUUUUAGCCUGAGUUACAUCCCCAGGCCUUUUUAUUUUCAGUCUCACUCCGGUGCUGAGGCUAGCUUUGAAUUUGUGAUCCUCCUGCCUCAGCCUUCUCCUGAGUCUCUGGGAUUACAGGCACAUGCCACCAUGUCCUGUGUGGAAAAAGAUCUUACACAUCACCUAGAGGACAUUGUGUUGGAAAUCUAAAUGCAGCAGUGGGCAACUGGGAUGCUCCACAUGGUUGCUCAGUAGGUGAUAAGCUUGCUGACCCCAUAAAACUUCACUGUGCCCAGACUGCCAGGCUGAUGGCCUCACACACACUGGAAGCCCCCUAGACACAGCAAGAGGAAGACUUGAUAUAGAAGUCAAGAUUCUAGAAAUUAACCCACCUACUUCCUACCCUCCCAUUUGUUCUGUUUCUCUUCUGCCUGUCCUCUCCAGCUCUGGUUUUUGCUACAGGCAGGAAAAUCAGUAGCAAUGUUCAUGAGUGAGUAAGAAGAAUGCCAGAAAGAGAGCCGUGUCCUGAUAGGAAAGAAAGAACCUUCAGCCAAAUCAUUUCAGUGUGGAAAGCCAGAUCAUCUACUCUACUCUCUGUGAAAUCAAAUCAUAAUGCAAACCAAGCUUUUGGUUUUCCUAAUCCAUGCUGCUUUAUCCAUGUUCACCUAGAUGCGUGGUUCCCUUACAAAACAAAAGUGAAGACAGUUUCAAAAGUGGGCAAUGUAUUGUUCUAAUCCCUUAGGUAGGUAUUCAACCUUGAAUAUGGCUUCUGGUCUCUGGGCUUAAAAGUCUGGACUUUGCCAUUUGAAACGGUGAUGUCGUCUUGGUGCUCUUAGGGUUAUGAAAGAUGGUCCACUAUAUCUCCUCUUAUCGCCAGCCUUAUCCUAAUUCCCAUUAAGGCAAUGCUGGAAAGAAAAAAAAUUUAAUUGGGUAACAAGAAUUUCCACUUUGGAAGCCAUAACUACAUAUAGGUACUGUUUUUAAGAGCUUUGUAUUAAUUUUUUUUAGUACCAGGGACUGAGUACUACCACUGAGCUACAUCCCUGGCCUUUCUUAUUUAUAUUUAUUAUUAUUUAUAUUAUAUUUUAUUUUGAAACAGGGUCUCACUAUGUUGCCCAGGCUGGCCUCAAACUUGUGUUCCUCCUGCUUCAGUCUCCCAAACAGCUGGAAUUACAGGUGUAUGCUACUAUGCCUGGAUUAAUUAAUUCAUUUAUUCAUAAACAACCCUACAAGGGGAACACUAUUUUAUCAACCCUAUGAUACAGAGAGGGAAUUCGGGUACAGAAAAGGUGAGUCAUUUGUCCAAGGUCACACUGCUACUAGUAGCAUUAGGAUUUGAACCCAAACCUUUGGUCCCUGGAGAACUUGCCAAAUGCUCAUUUAAUGUAUCCUUGGCCAACUCUCUGCACUUGUGGACAUCUUUGAAUUCAUGGAUGAAUGGGCUUAAGAUAAUAUUGCUCUUAGCACAAUGUACUUGGGUUUGAGUCUUAAUUAAAUAUAAUAAUGUGCCAGGCCCCAUGCACUGUUGACUCUUUGGGCCACUUUUAUAUAAUGAAUGAAUUAAUGGAGCAUGCUGCCCUCUUGUGAUGAAAAUCACCCCCAUGUGUCACCCCCAUGUGACCUGUAGCUUUCUUGAAUGCACAUACUUCCUUCCUUUGGUCCAGUCUUGUGGCUGGGGAUUGGGGAUGUGCGACUAUACAUGAAGCUGUUGACUCUGUAGAGUCAAAACUCUUAACCUGCCAUUCUCCAGGAUGCUCCUAACCUAGGACUGUCAGUGAGGUUCACAGAUAUGACAGAGUCCUGUUGCUUUUAACAUCAUCAACAUAGGAGAAAAAUAAGAGGUUUUUUUCUGUGGAAAUGCCAGGAACACAAAAAAGACCUCAUAUCAUUUUGCUUGGCCUAGAUUGGAACCACGUUUAACAGACUUGGCAGAAAGACGAUCAGUUGCAAAGUGAACUGAAGGUUGCAAAUCUAUCAGAACAGAGGCACAAUAAAACCAGCCAGAAGGCACGUGUUUGUGUUCCAGCUCCACCAGGAAUAAGUGUCUGACCUUGGGCGAGUUGCUU